rnacentral:lncRNA from 1 species
GGUUAAAAAUGUAAAAUAUUGAUCUAAUUCGAAUUAAAUUAGAGUUAGAGGGACCAGAGUUGUAAUUUUGUGAAAGAUUUAAAGUGGUCGGGGAUAUAACCCGCCACCCUCACCAUGUCAAACCCUAGACCUAAGGUUCCAGCCGCCAAGAGUGAAGUAGCCGCCAUCUCACUCUCCUCGUUCUUUUCAGAUCCGACCAAGGCGCAACCCACUGCCGGCGACGCUGUGAGCGGCAAGGACCAUCGAGACAAGAUUUUUUUUAUGCCGUGAACAGCUUGUGCGGGCUGUGAACGACCGGAAUAGCGAUGGGCGCGGUGACUCUCUGCGUGGUUGUAACCGCUCGUUGUCCUUCUCCAUUCUUCUCCGGUUGUAGCUAUCGGACGUUCGUCUUGCUGCCGCCGCCGCCUAGUUCUUCAUUCCCCCCCAUUCCAGUCGUCAUCCGCCAACCCGAAGCAGCUGUUUUGGUGUGCUUGUGGGUCGAAAGCAUGGGGGUGUGGGCUGCAGUUGCUGUUCGUUUGUGAGGGCUCGUUUGGCUAGUGAAAACCCGUGAAGAGCCACCAUGGCGGCCAACCAUGGUGGUUGUCGCCGUCAUCGCCGCUUUUGCCGUUUUUCGGUGCCUUUACCGCCGCUGUAGGCCACCAAGGGGUGGCUGAGUUGCUUUGCGACCUCAUAGCGGGUGUGUGUGUGCAUCCAUUCUUGUUAGUGUGUGUUAGUCUAGCCGGAAAAGCAAGAAAGGCCACUGCCACCACCGUGAGGUGGUGGCUGCUGCCAAGCACCACCGCCGGCCACCAUGGUGUGGCUGUGUGUGUAGUAGUUAGUUUAUGUUAGUGGGUGUGUGUAUUAUUUUUUUGAUAAAAACCUUGUAAUUGUAAUUAACAUGAAUAAUAAAAGUAAUAGUAACCACCACCGUAAGGUGGUGGCCGCCGCCGUGUGCCGCCGUAGACCACCACUACCCGAGGUGGUAGUGGGUGGUGCCCCGCUAGCAAACCCUAAUGGGCUUAGAGAUUGGUUUUGGGCCUAUUGGGCCAUGUUUGGGUGGAAAACCCUAAUUAUGAGUAUUGGGCCUUAGACUAAUUGGGCCACUUGUGGGCCAUUGGGAUUGAAUUGUGAAUUAAGCCCAAAUUAUUCCAUGCCAUUUAUCUAGUAGAGUAAAGGACUUAAUGAACUAAGUCCUUAAUGGGCUAAUUGACAAAAUACUAAUAUUUGAGAGAUUAUCAGCAUACACACGAGAAUUAUUUAAUAAGUGAAAUAUUAAAUAACAAUCAUUGGCAUAAAUUAAUCUAAGCAAUAAUGGACUUAAUGGACUAAGUCCUUAGUGGGUUAAGCCCUUAAUGGGUUAAGUGAGAAACACUUAACCCUAAUUAUCAUUUUAUGUGCAACCCUAAUUUCACAUGGGCUUGGUGUGGGCCAUCCAAGAAUAAUCAAAUGGACUAGAGUAAUUAGUUGGGCUAUAGUGUAAGGCCCAUAUGAAGGAUUGGGCCCAAUUUGGAAAAUUGGGCCAUAGUUGGGCCUAGUUGGUUGUAUGAUAUUGGGCCCUUAGAAUGAGGCAUGAUGGACUAGACUGAGCAAUUGGGCCUUAAGGGAAGUCCAUGUAGAGGUUUGGGCCUAAUUUGGAAAAUUGGGCCAUAUGUUGGGCUUUGAUCCCUAGUUGACUUUGGGUCUAUGGAUUGGGCCUUGGGCUUGGGUAAGCCAAGCUAGGGGUAAUGUAGUAAUUAUCCAAAGCAUGUAUUUUUAGUUAUGUGUUAGAACCCAAUUAUUAAUUGGGUGUUAUUUGGUGUUGACAGUUCGGGAAUCUGUCAGCCAGCAGCUGGGGUGGAGUCUGCGGGACUUCAGCAGUGUGGGAUUGUGUCUGCGGGACUUCAGUAGUGUGAGGUGAGUUUCCUUCCAGUAGGAACGGGUCUACGGCCACAAUGCCGGCCCGUUUAGUUAGCAGUAGUUCCGGACUUCAGUCCGAUGCAGUAGUUCAGUAUGCUUGGUGUCUUUGUGAUACAGACAGGGUAUGAGUUAUGUGUUCCGGACUAUGGUCCGAUGCAGUAUGCGGUAUAUGUGUUUAGAUUAUAUGCUAUGAUUAUGUUAUGCUAUGUUCAGUUAGUUUUGGACCUCGGUCCGAUGCAGUAGUUAGAGUGCUUGAUGUCUUUGUGAUUCAAGCAUGUUUUGUGUUAUGUGUUCCGGACUCUGUUCCGAUGCAGUAUGCAGUAUAUGUAUUCAUGCUAGUUGAUAUGUUUAUGCUAUGUUAUGUUCAGUCAGUUCCGGACUUCGGUCCGAUGCAGGGGACAAGGUCCCAAUCAGUUCCGGACUUCGGUCCGAUGCAGUUAGUUCCGGACUUCGGUCCGAUGCAGAGGGCAAGGCCCUGGUUAGUUCCGGACUCCGGUCCGAUGCAGUUUCUGGACUUCGGUCCGAUGCAGAGGGCAAGGCCCUGGUUAGUUUCCGGACUUCGGUCUGAUGCAGUGGGCAAGGCCCAGUAGAUGCUUUAUAUGUUAUUGUAUGGUAUGUGGUAGUUUGGGGGAGCUCACUAAGCUUCGUGCUUACGGUUUUCAGUUUUGGUUUCAGGUACUCAGUUUUUAAAAGAGGAGCUCGGGAAGAUUGUAGUGCACACACCAUUUGUUCAACCUGGGAUGUUUAUACUCUGAUAUAUUUGACAAUUGUUAAGAUACUUUGAGAUACAUUCUUUAUG